rnacentral:rRNA from 1 species
CCUACGGGGUGCAGCAGUAGGGAAUUUUCGGCAAUGGGGGGAACCCUGAACGAGCCACGCCGCGUGAACGAAGAAGUUAUUAGUAAUGUAAAGUUCUUUUAACAGGGAAGAAAGAGAAAUUAGACGGUACCUGAAGAAUAAGCCCCGGCUAACUACGUGCCAGCAGCCGCGGUAAUACGUAGGCAGCGAGCGUUAUCCGGAAUUAUUGGGCGUAAAGGGUGCGUAGAUGGCAUAGUAAGCCUUUUGUAAAAAUGCUGGGCUCAACCCAGUAGGGCAAAAGAUACUGCAAAUCUAGAGUAUGACAGAGGCAAGUGGAACUACAUGUGUAGCGGUAAAAUGCGUAGAUAUAUGUAAGAACACCAGUGGCGAAGGCGGCUUGCUGGGUCGAUACUGACAUUGAGGCACGAAAGCGUGGGGAGUAAACAGGAUUAGAUACCCUAGUAGUC